AAAUUGAAGAGUUUGAUCAUGGCUCAGAUUGAACGCUGGCGGCAGGCCUAACACAUGCAAGUCGAACGGUAACAGGAAGCAGCUUGCUGCUUCGCUGACGAGUGGCGGACGGGUGAGUAAUGUCUGGGAAACUGCCUGAUGGAGGGG
rnacentral:rRNA from 3 species